rnacentral:rRNA from 1 species
CCCUUAGAUGUUCUGGGCUGCACGCGUGCUACACUGAAGCUAUCAACACGUUUUCCCUCCCUGAGAAGGGCGGGUAACCUUUUGAAUCAGCUUCGUGGUAGGGAUCGGGGCUUGCAAUUGUUCCCCGUGAACCAGGAAUUCCUAGUAGACGCGAGUCAUAAGCUCGCAUCGAUUAAGUCCCUGCCCUUUGUACACACCGCCCGUCGCUACUACCGAUUGAACGUUUUAGUGAGGCAUUUGGACCGACGCAUCUCAGUUUAACCGCUGGUUUGUGUUGGAAAGACUUCCAAACUUGAGCGUUUAGAGGAAGUGAAAGUCGUAACA